UACAUAGAUUGGUACCUAUCAUGUAAAAUAAGUGUGAAAGAUGCCACGCUAUGUAGA
rnacentral:pre_miRNA from 1 species